rnacentral:rRNA from 1 species
ACAGCAGCAGCCACGGGAAUACGUAGGUGGCAAGCGUUGUCCGGAAUUAUUGGGCGUAAAGCGCGCGCGGGCGGAUAGGUCAGUCUGUCUUAAAAGUUCGGGGCUUAACCCCGUGAUGAGAUGGAAACUGCUGAUCUAGAGUAUCGGAGAGGAAAGUGGAAUUCCUAGUGUAGCGGUGAAAUGCGUAGAUAUUAGGAAGAACACCAGUGGCGAAGGCGACUUUCUGGACGAAAACUGACGCUGAGGCGCGAAAGCCAGGGGAGCGAACGGGAUUAGAUACCCGGGUAGUCCCUGUCUCUUAUACA